rnacentral:lncRNA from 1 species
GGAGAGAGCUGACACAAAAACUAGAAAAUAAGAAACGCUGGAAAAACUAAGUACUACACAGACAAAAGAAUGAGGCAGUCUGCAAAACUAACCCCAGCACUUGGGGAAGGGGACUUGUCUCCCCUAAUACACACCAUGAAACUCUCCACUUUAAGAGGAGCCAACUGCUCGUUACUUCUCUGA